GACGAACGCUGGCGGCGUGCUUAACACAUGCAAGUCGAACGGAAAGGCCCUGCUUUUGUGGGGUGCUCGAGUGGCGAACGGGUGAGUAACACGUGAGUAACCUGCCCUUGACUUUGGGAUAACUUCAGGAAACUGGGGCUAAUACCGGAUAGGAGCUCCUGCUGCAUGGAGGGGGUUGGAAAGUUUCGGCGGUUGGGGAUGGACUCGCGGCUUAUCAGCUUGUUGGUGGGGUAGUGGCUUACCAAGGCUUCGACGGGUAGCCGGCCUGAGAGGGUGACCAGCGUCAUUGGGACUGAGAUACGGCCCAGACUGCUACGGGAGGCAGUAGUGGGGAAUAUUGCACAAUGGGAGGAAGCCUGAUGCAGCAACGCCGCGUGCGGGAUGACGGCCUUCGGGCUGUAAACCGCUUUCGCCUGUGACGAAGCGUGAGUGACGGUAAUGGGUAAAGAAGCACCGGCUAACUACGUG
rnacentral:rRNA from 1 species